GCGGUUGUGGCGGAACGGCAGACGCACUAGCUUGAGGGGCUAGCGAAUGUAUAUUCGUGGGGGUUCAAGUCCCCCCAACCGCACCA
rnacentral:tRNA from 1 species